rnacentral:lncRNA from 1 species
UACAAAUGACUGGGACAGCAAGCAUCUUCUGCUUCCAAAGACAUGGCUGUUGACAAUAUUUAUGUUCAGCCUCAUUCAUUGGUUGUUGACAAUAUUUCUGAUUCCCAGUAAAAAAAAAGAGAAUGAAACAAACAAAAGACAGACUGCGAGGCCACACUAGUGCUUCCAAUACCGCAAGUACUACACAUGCAAGAUUGUAGCAAACACUCAGCCAAUUACAACAAUUAAAUUGGGAUUUCCCCCUCUCUACUUUUCCUCGACAACCCAACCUAGAUAGAUCUCCUCAUCACACCGUGUAGAUCCCAUAUGCUUUCCCCUCCUCCUGUAAUCAUAGCCAAAGUACCAAGUCAGGUUUCUCUAGCAGCACAAGAAAAGACAAAGAAAAAGGCUACCAAAACAAGGGACAACAAGCCUACUUCAUUCGAAUUCGACAACAAGCAACAUUAUCUCAACGUCAAUGGGAAUACAACAGGUACAGCCGUGCAAACAGAAGAUGUUACCCGAGCCCCUCUCGGUGGUUAACCAGGAUGUUAAUCUACAAGCAGUAG